rfam:Schistosoma curassoni strain Dakar, Senegal genome assembly, scaffold: SCTD_contig0011443
GCACUGCUGAGGAAUCCCAUCCUAGGACGAGACGGCCGUCCAGUGC